rnacentral:rRNA from 1 species
GUCCACGCCGUAAACGAUGAGUGCUAGGUGUUGGAUCCUUUCCGGGAUUCAGUGCCGCAGCUAACGCAUUAAGCACUCCGCCUGGGGAGUACGACCGCAAGGUUGAAACUCAAAGGAAUUGACGGGGCCCGGCACAAGCGGUGGAGCAUGUGGUUUAAUUCGAAGCAACGCGAAGAACCUUACCAGGUCUUGACAUCCUCUG